ensembl:lncRNA
UUCUGAUUCAUUCUGGUAUUGUUUUUUCUAUUCGUGCAAUUUUGCAUUCUAUUCAAAAGCUUGAAUUUUCAAGUGCAACAGAAUGGCACAUUCACACAUAAAUUACUUUUAUUAAAAAUGCAUCUAUGAAUGAAGCUACAUGAAGAUAAAACCUGAUUGCAUAGCAUUUUUAUCCUCAAUUUGGGAAAAUUUUGCUGAGAAGCAUCUGCAAACUUAACAUUAGCAUUAUGAUCUUGUGCCCUUUUUACAUCAUCUUCCAAGCAUCAGUCAACAGAAUACCAAAACAAGGUAUCUUAAAAGCAUCUCAAAAUGCUAUCUAGGUAGGCAGCUCACUAGGUUUUGGAGCACAGGCUAACAUGACAGCUUCAUAAAUGACUAAGCUUGACUGAAAUGCUUCUUUGUGCCUUUUGUCACCUAAACCCCCAGAAUGCAUUGGGGCAAGGGAGUGAGGCGAUAAGUGCGAGGCAAAGAUGCAUUUGCUCCGCAGAAGUGGCCACGGUGCAGAUGUUGCAGGUUAUUUCCGUGAAGUUUCAUCAUGAUGCUGGGACACUGAACUCUGGUAAUCUGCGCUUCUCUCCUGAGUGUGUUUGCUUUGGCAAGGGAACACUUCAGCAUGCAUGUGUCUCUAAUUGUUCAUGCCGUUGA